rnacentral:rRNA from 1 species
AUAUCAAUAAGCGGAGGAAAAGAAACCAACUGGGAUUGCCCUAGUAACGGCGAGUGAAGCGGCAAUAGCUCAAAUUUGAAAUCUGGCUCUCUUUGGGGGUCCGAGUUGUAAUCUGCAGAGGGUGCUUUGGCGUUGACGGCGGUCUAAGUUCCUUGGAACAGGACAUCGCAGAGGGUGAGAAUCCCGUUUGUGGUCGCCAGUCUUCACCGUGUAAAGCCCCUUCGACGAGUCGAGUUGUUUGGAAUGCAGCUCUAAAUGGGAGGUAAAUUUCUUCUAAAGCUAAAUACCGGCCAGAGACCGAUAGCGCACAAGUAGAGUGAUCGAAAGAUGAAAAGCACUUUGGAAAGAGAGUCAAAUAGCAC